rnacentral:rRNA from 1 species
GACGAACGCUGGCGGCGUGCUUAACACAUGCAAGUCGAGCGGAAAGGCCCUUCGGGGUACUCGAGCGGCGAACGGGUGAGUAACACGUGAGUAACCUGCCCCAGACUUUGGGAUAACCCUCGGAAACGGGGGCUAAUACCGGAUACGACACAGCUUCGCAUGGGGUCUGUGUGGAAAGUUUUUCGGUUUGGGAUGGGCUCGCGGCCUAUCAGCUUGUUGGUGGGGUGAUGGCCUACCAAGGCGACGACGGGUAGCCGGCCUGAGAGGGCGACCGGCCACACUGGGACUGAGACACGGCCCAGACUCCUACGGGAGGCAGCAGUGGGGAAUAUUGCACAAUGGGCGGAAGCCCGAUGCAGCGACGCCGCGUGAGGGAUGACGGCCUUCGGGUUGUAAACCUCUUUCAGCAGGGGCGAAGCGUAAGUGACGGUACCUGCAGAAGAAGCGCCGGCCAACUACGUG